GCCCCCAUAGCUCAGUGGAUAGAGCGCAAGCCUCCGGAGCUUGAGACAGAGGUUCGACUCCUCUUGGGGGUA
rnacentral:tRNA from 1 species